UUACUGAAUUGUCAAACGGGUUGUUGCUGGCCCUCAUAGGGGGCAUGUGCACGCUCUGUUUACACAUCCACUCACACCUGUGCACCCUCUGUAGUUCUAUGGUCUGGGGGACCCUGUCUUCCUUCUGUGGUUCUACGUCUUUACACACACACUGUAAUAAAGUUUUAUGGAAUGUACAUCGCGUCUAACGCAAUACAAUACAACUUUCAGCAACGGAUCUCUUGGCUCUCGCAUCGAUGAAGAACGCAGCGAAAUGCGAUAAGUAAUGUGAAUUGCAGAAUUCAGUGAAUCAUCGAAUCUUUGAACGCACCUUGCGCCCCUUGGCUAUUCCGAGGGGCAUGCCUGUUUGAGUAUCAUGAACACCUCAACUCUCAUGGUUUGCCAUGAUGAGUUGGACUCUGGGGGUUUUGCUGGCCUGUGGUCGGCUCCUCUCAAAUUAAUCAGCCUCCCAGUGUUUGGUGGCAUCACGGGUGUGAUAAAUAUCUACGCUCGCUGUUGUCUGCCAGGUAACCUUUGGUCACAAAGGUUUGCUGGAGCUCACAGAUGUCUCUCCUCAGCGAGGACAGCUUUUUUAACGUUCGAUCUCAAAUCAGGUAGGACUACCCGCUGAACUU
rnacentral:rRNA from 1 species